rnacentral:rRNA from 1 species
CCUACGGGAGGCAGCAGUGGGGAAUAUUGCACAAUGGGGGAAACCCUGAUGCAGCAACGCCGCGUGAGUGAGGAAGUAUUUCGGUAUGUAAAGCUCUAUCAGUAGGGAAUAGAAAAGACGGUAGUUGCUGUAGACGCCUCGGCUAACUACGGGCAAGCAGCCGCGGUUAUCCGUAGGCGGGAAGCGUUAUUCGGAUUUACUUGGUGUAAAUGGAGCGUAGACGGUAAGUCAAGUCAGAGGUGAAAACCCAAGUCUCAACCAUGGGAGUGCUUUUGAAAUUGGCCAACUUGAGUACAGGAGAGGGAAGAGGAAGUCCAAGUGUAGCGGUGAAAUGCGUAGAUAUUAGGAGGAACACCAGUGGCGAAGGCGUCUUACUGGACCGAAACUGACGUUGAGGCUCGAAAGCGUGGGGAGCAAACAGGAUUAGAUACCCGAGUAGUC